GGUGAACGCUGGCGGCGUGCCUAAUACAUGCAAGUCGAGCGAACGGACGAGAAGCUUGCUUCUCUGAUGUUAGCGGCGGACGGGUGAGUAACACGUGGAUAACCUACCUAUAAGGCUGGGAUAACUUCGGGAAACCGUAGCUAAUACCGGAUAAUAUUUUGAACCGCAUGGUUCAAAAGUGAAAGACGGUCUUGCUGUCACUUAUAGAUGGAUCCGCGCUGCAUUAGCUAGUUGGUAAGGUAACGGCUUACCAAGGCAACGAUGCAUAGCCGACCUGAGAGGGUGGACGGCCACACUGGAACUGAGACACGGUCCAGACUCCUACGGGAGGCAGCAGUAGGGAAUCUUCCGCAAUGGGCGAAAGCCUGACGGAGCAACGCCGCGUGAGUGAUGAAGGUCUUCGGAUCGUAAAACUCUGUUAUUAGGGAAGAACAUAUGUGUAAGUAACUGUGCACAUCUUGACGGUACCUAAUCAGAAAGCCACGGCUAACUACGUG
rnacentral:rRNA from 1 species